rnacentral:rRNA from 1 species
UACGAAGGGGGCUAGCGUUGUUCGGAAUCACUGGGCGUAAAGCGCACGUAGGCGGAUGUGUCAGUCAGGGGUGAAAUACCGGGGCUCAACCUCGGAACUGCCUCUGAUACAGCACGUCUUGAGUCCGGAAGAGGUGGGUGGAAUUCCUAGUGUAGAGGUGAAAUUCGUAGAUAUUAGGAAGAACACCGGUGGCGAAGGCGGCCCACUGGUCCGGUACUGACGCUGAGGUGCGAAAGCGUGGGGAGCAAACAGG